UGGGGAAUUUUGGACAAUGGGCGAAAGCCUGAUCCAGCAAUGCCGCGUGUGUGAAGAAGGCCUUCGGGUUGUAAAGCACUUUUUGUCCGGGAAAGAAAUCCUUGGCCCUAAUACAGUCGGGGGAUGACGGUACCGGAAGAAUAAGCACCGGCUAACUACGUGCCAGCAGCCGCGGUAAUACGUAGGGUGCAAGCGUUAAUCGGAAUUACUGGGCGUAAAGCGUGCGCAGGCGGUUUGCUAAGACCGAUGUGAAAUCCCCGGGCUCAACCUGGGAACUGCAUUGGUGACUGGCAGGCUAGAGUAUGGCAGAGGGGGGUUAGAAUUCCACGUGUAGCAGUGAAAUGCGUAGAGAUGUGGAGGAAUACCGAU
rnacentral:rRNA from 1 species